rnacentral:rRNA from 1 species
GAGUUUGAUCCUGGCUCAGGAUGAACGCUGGCGGCGUGCCUAACACAUGCAAGUCGAACGGGAACAGAAUGAAACCUAGUGAUUUUUGUUUUAGUGGCGGACGGGUGAGUAACGCGUGGGUAACCUGCCGUAUACAGGGGGAUAACACUUAGAAAUAGGUGCUAAUACCGCAUAAGCGCACAGCUUCGCAUGGAGCAGUGUGAAAAGCGUAAACGGUAUACGAUGGACCCGCGUCUGAUUAGCUAGUUGGCGGGGUAGAGGCCCACCAAGGCGACGAUCAGUAGCCGGCCUGAGAGGGUGACCGGCCACAUUGGGACUGAGACACGGCCCAAACUCCUACGGGAGGCAGCAGUGGGGAAUAUUGCACAAUGGGGGGAACCCUGAUGCAGCGACGCCGCGUGAGUGAAGAAGUAUUUCGGUAUGUAAAGCUCUAUCAGCAGGGAAGAAAAUGACGGUACCUGACUAAGAAGCCCCGGCUAACUACGUGCCAGCAGCCGCGGUAAUACGUAGGGGGCAAGCGUUAUCCGGAUUUACUGGGUGUAAAGGGAGCGUAGACGGUUAUGCAAGUCUGAAGUGAAAGCCCAAGGCUCAACCAUGGGACUGCUUUGGAAACUGUAAAACUGGAGUGCAGGAGAGGUAAGCGGAAUUCCUAGUGUAGCGGUGAAAUGCGUAGGUAUUAGGAGGAACACCAGUGGCGAAGGCGGCUUACUGGACUGUAACUGACGUUGAGGCUCGAAGGCGUGGGGAGCAAACAGGAUUAGAUACCCUGGUAGUCCACGCGGUAAACGAUGAUCACUAGGUGUCGGUGGGUAGAGACCCAUCGGUGCCGCCGCAAACGCAGUAAGUGAUCCACCUGGGGAGUACGUUCGCAAGAAUGAAACUCAAAGGAAUUGACGG